rnacentral:rRNA from 1 species
AGUGAACGCUGGCGGCGUGCUUUACACAUGCAAGUCGAACGAUGAAGCUCUUGCUUGCAAGAGUGGAUUAGUGGCGAACGGGUGAGUAAUAUAUAGCUAACCUGCCCCUUGGAGAGGGACAACAGUUGGAAACGACUGCUAAUACCGGAUAAGUCUUUACGGAGAAAGCUUUAUGCACCAUUGGAUGAGCCCGCAAUUGAUUAGUUUGUUGGUAGGGUAAUGGCCUACCAAGACUAUGAUCAAUAGCUGAUUUGAGAGGAUGAUCAGCCACAUUGAGACUGAGGCACGGCCCAA